UACGGGGGGGGCAAGCGUUGUUCGGAAUUACUGGGCGUAAAGGGCUCGCAGGUGGCCAACUAAGUCAGACGUGAAAUCCCUCGGCUUAACCGGGGAACUGCGUCUGAUACUGGAUGGCUUGAGUUCGGGAGAGGGAUGCGGAAUUCCAGGUGUAGCGGUGAAAUGCGUAGAUAUCUGGAGGAACACCGGUGGCGAAGGCGGCAUCCUGGACCGACACUGACACUGAGGAGCGAAAGCCAGGGGAGCAAACGGG
rnacentral:rRNA from 1 species